rnacentral:misc_RNA from 1 species
GAUGAAGAACGCAGCGAAAUGUGAUAAGUAGUGUGAAUUGCAGAAUUCAGUGAAUCAUCGAAUCUUUGAACGCACAUUGCGCCCCUUGGUAUUCCAUGGGGCAUGCCUGUUCGAGCGUCAUUUGUACCUUCAAGCUCUGCUUGGUGUUGGGUGUUUGUCUCGCCUCUGCGUGUAGACUCGCCUCAAAACAAUUGGCAGCCGGCGUAUUGAUUUCGGAGCGCAGUACAUCUCGCGCUUUGCACUCAUAACGACGACGUCCAAAAGUACAUUUUUACACUCUUGACCUCGGAUCAGGUAGGGAUACCCGCUGAACUUAAGCAUAUCAAUAAGCGGAGGA